rnacentral:rRNA from 1 species
UACGGAGGGGGCUAGCGUUGUUCGGAAUUACUGGGCGUAAAGCGUACGUAGGCGGCUUUGUAAGUUAGAGGUGAAAGCCCAGAGCUCAACUCUGGAAUUGCCUUUAAGACUGCAUCGCUUGAAUCGUGGAGAGGUUAGUGGAAUUCCGAGUGUAGAGGUGAAAUUCGUAGAUAUUCGGAAGAACACCAGUGGCGAAGGCGACUAACUGGACACGUAGUGACGCUGAGGUACGAAAGCGUGGGUAGCAAACAGG